rnacentral:rRNA from 1 species
GACGAACGCUGGCGGCGUGCCUAAUACAUGCAAGUAGAACGCUGAAGGAGGAGCUUGCUUCUCUGGAUGAGUUGCGAACGGGUGAGUAACGCGUAGGUAACCUGCCUGGUAGCGGGGGAUAACUAUUGGAAACGAUAGCUAAUACCGCAUAAGAGUAGAUGUUGCAUGACAUUUGCUUAAAAGGUGCAAUUGCAUCACUACCAGAUGGACCUGCGUUGUAUUAGCUAGUUGGUGGGGUAACGGCUCACCAAGGCGACGAUACAUAGCCGACCUGAGAGGGUGAUCGGCCACACUGGGACUGAGACACGGCCCAGACUCCUACGGGAGGCAGCAGUAGGGAAUCUUCGGCAAUAGACGGAAGUCUGACCGAGCAACGCCGCGUGAGUGAAGAAGGUUGUCGGAUCGUAAAGCUCGGUUGUAAGAGAAGAACGAGUGUGAGAGUGGAAAGUUCACACUGUGACGGUAUCUUACCAGAAAGGGACGGCUAACUACGUG